rnacentral:rRNA from 2 species
ACAUGCAAGUCGAACGAACUUUCUUACACCGAAUGCUUGCAUUCACCGUAAGAAGUUGAGUGGCGGACGGGUGAGUAACACGUGGGUAACCUGCCUAAAAGAAGGGGAUAACACUUGGAAACAGGUGCUAAUACCGUAUAUCUCUAAGGAUCGCAUGAUCCUUAGAUGAAAGAUGGUUCUGCUAUCGCUUUUAGAUGGACCCGCGGCGUAUUAACUAGUUGGUGGGGUAACGGCCUACCAAGGUGAUGAUACGUAGCCGAACUGAGAGGUUGAUCGGCCACAUUGGGACUGAGACACGGCCCAAACUCCUACGGGAGGCAGCAGUAGGGAAUCUUCCACAAUGGACGCAAGUCUGAUGGAGCAACGCCGCGUGAGUGAAGAAGGUCUUCGGAUCGUAAAACUCUGUUGUUAGAGAAGAACACGAGUGAGAGUAACUGUUCAUUCGAUGACGGUAUCUAACCAGCAAGUCACGGCUAACUACGUGCCAGCAGCCGCGGUAAUACGUAGGUGGCAAGCGUUGUCCGGAUUUAUUGGGCGUAAAGGGAACGCAGGCGGUCUUUUAAGUCUGAUGUGAAAGCCUUCGGCUUAACCGGAGUAGUGCAUUGGAAACUGGAAGACUUGAGUGCAGAAGAGGAGAGUGGAACUCCAUU